rnacentral:lncRNA from 1 species
GGUAUUUGCAUUCAGUGGAGGCAAAAGAAUGGGUUCACUUUUAUCAAGGUAGUGAGUGAUGAGGGUAUCAUGGGAGUUGACACCUGAACAUUUUUCUCUAUCUUUCAAUCAGAGAAGAAGUAAUCUUAUCUCCACCUGAAGCAGUUGCAGGUGCUUGAAACCUCAUAGAAGAAAGCGUCAUGGACACAACGUAAUUGCCCUUGACAAGCCCUGGCUUCUGGACUUCAUAUGAAACCAGAAAAGAAAUAUGGUUUGUGGGGCUUCCCUGGUGGUACAGUGGAUGAGAAUUCGCCUGCCGAUCCAGAGGACAUGGGUUUGAUCCCUGGUGCAGGAAGAUGCCACAUGCCCUGAAGCAGCUAAGCCCGAGCAGCAAAACUACUGAGGCUUGCACGCCUAGAGCCUGUGCUCGGCGACAGAAGAAGCCCGCGUGCCACAAGGGAGAGUAGCCCUGCUCGUUUCAACUGGAGAAAACAGCAACGAAGACCCAGUGCAACCA